rnacentral:rRNA from 1 species
GAUGAACGCUGGCGGCGUGCCUAAUACAUGCAAGUCGAGCGAACGGACGAGAAGCUUGCUUCUCUGAUGUUAGCGGCGGACGGGUGAGUAACACGUGGAUAACCUACCUAUAAGACUGGGAUAACUUCGGGAAACCGUAGCUAAUACCGGAUAAUAUUUUGAACCGCAUGGUUCAAAAGUGAAAGACGGUCUUGCUGUCACUUAUAGAUGGAUCCGCGCUGCAUUAGCUAGUUGGUAAGGUAACGGCUUACCAAGGCAACGAUGCAUAGCCGACCUGAGAGGGGGGGACGCCAAAACGGGAACUGGACCCCGGCCCGACCUCUAAGGGGGGGCGGAGGAAGGAAUUCUUCACAAGGGGGAAAACGCCGGAGGGGCAACCCCGGGGGGAUUGAUGAGGUUUUUGGUAUCUAAAAACUUUUUAAUAGGGAAAAAAAAUUGGGGAAAGAAACGGGGCAAUUCUGACGGAACCCAAAUAAAAAGCCCACGACAAGCUACGGC